UAGAGUUUGAUCCAUGGCUCAGAUUGAACGCUGGCGGCAGGCCUAACACAUGCAAGUCGAGCGGUAGAGAGAAGCUUGCUUCUCUUGAGAGCGGCGGACGGGUGAGUAAUGCCUAGGAAUCUGCCUGGUAGUGGGGGAUAACGUUCGGAAACGGACGCUAAUACCGCAUACGUCCUACGGGAGAAAGCAGGGGACCUUCGGGCCUUGCGCUAUCAGAUGAGCCUAGGUCGGAUUAGCUAGUUGGUGAGGUAAUGGCUCACCAAGGCGACGAUCCGUAACUGGUCUGAGAGGAUGAUCAGUCGCACUGGAACUGAGACACGGUCCAGACUCCUACGGGAGGCAGCAGUGGGGAAUAUUGGACAAUGGGCGAAAGCCUGAUCCAGCCAUGCCGCGUGUGUGAAGAAGGUCUUCGGAUUGUAAAGCACUUUAAGUUGGGAGGAAGGGUUGUAGAUUAAUACUCUGCAAUUUGACGACCGCA
rnacentral:rRNA from 1 species